rnacentral:RNase_P_RNA from 1 species
UCAGGUAGUUAAGUGACUGCUCUUUAUAAAUGAAGAGAGGAAAGUCCGGGCUCCAUGGAAACACAGUGCCGGUUAAUUGCCGGCAGAGGAAACUCUAGGGAAAGUGCCACAGAAAAUAUACCGCUUAGUUAUUAUUAAGUAAGGGUGAAAUGGUGUGGUAAGAGCGCACCGCAUUUUAGGUAAUUAAAAUGGCAGGGUAAACCCCACUGGGAGCAAGACCAAGUAGAAACAGCAAGCUAUUUAUUUAGCAGCGGUGUUUUCAACGUGUUGUUGGGUAGGUUGCAUGAGGUAUUUGGUAACAAAUAUCCUAGAUGAAUAGUCACUCUAGACAGAACCCGGCUUAUAGGCUNCCUGNCAAA